rnacentral:lncRNA from 1 species
UGCGAAGCCUCCAGCUCUCCAUGGAGAAGGCUUUGGGCUGCCAGCAACUCCCUCACUGAGUCAUCUCGCACUGCAAGAUGGAACGGUUCCCAGGGCGCUGGCACUUCCAUUGGCAGCAGCAGAAGAACCAAAAUAGGACACACCAAAUGGAUCUAAUUUUGCCUGAACCUCGGUCUGCAAGGUUUGGGGGUACACCCUGGGGGAGGAUCAGAGCUGGGUCCAGAGGGGCCUUUGCUCUCCCUCCUUGCUCCUUCUACCUUCACCCCAUUUGACGAGCUGUGCCAUGUCAGGGCUUGGCUCCAUAGUGCUGGUUUUAAAAAGGCGCCUCACUCAUAGCUAUUCAGAUUUCAGAAAUAAAUGCUCUACACCACUGAUCAAAACGCCUGGAGUCAACAGAGCCGGUGACAUCUUAAGAAAUGCACCCGGUACUUAAGGCUUUCUUCUUAAUUAUACAUGUUCAAAUCAUAGACAGAUUUUCUCCUUCUGGUCCUGAAUAUCGGAGCUGCCAAAUCCAAUUGAAUCAUCUUCUUUUAAAUGCAUUUUGCAGUACGCGUUUCGCCGUUUUCCCAAUUUCCAUUGUAAACGAGCACCAGAAUUGUGCUGAGGGCCCUUUUCUUACAGGCUGCAUUAUUCAACCAGCAAAUGAAGAAAGGAAAGUGCUGAUUGC